rnacentral:rRNA from 1 species
CGGAUUGUAAAGCCACUUUAAGUUGGGAGGAAGGGCCAGUAAGUUAAUACCUUGCUUGUUUUGACGUUACCGACAGAAAUAAGCACCGCCUAACUAUGUGCCAGCAGCCGCAGUAAUACAGAGGGUGCAAGCGUUAAUCGGAAUUACUGGGCGUAAAGCGCGGCGUAGGUGGUUCGUUAAGUUGGAUGUGAAAAGCCCCGGGCUCAACCUGGGAACUGCAUCCCAAAACUGGCGAAGCUAGAGUACGGUAGAGGGUGGUUGAAAUUUCCUGUGUAGCGGUGAAAUGCGUAGAUAUAGGAAAGGAACACCAGUGGCGAAAGGCGACCACCUGGACUGAUACUGACACUGAGGUGCGAAAGCGUGGGGGAGCAAACAGGAUUAGAUACCCUGGUAGGUCCACGCCGUAAACGAUGUCAACUAGCCGUUGGGAAUCCUUGAGAUUUUAGUGGCGGCAGCUAACCGCAUUAAGUUGACCGCCUGGGGAGGACGGACGCAAGGUCAAAACUAAAACUCAAAUGACAGGGGACCGCACAAGCGCACAAGCAGGUGGAAGAAUGUCGAAGAAACGCGAAGCAACCCGACCAGGACCUUAACAGGGCAGAGAACUAUCCAGAGAUGCAUUGCAAGACAUCGGGAACGCUGACACAGGAACUGCAUGGCUGACGACAGCGCGUGUCAUGAGCAUGUCGGCCAAACUCCCGUAACGAGAGAAACCCGGGCCCUAAGUUACCAGCAC